rnacentral:lncRNA from 1 species
CGCCCACCGCCCGGGGCCAGCAGAGGGCGCGCGCCCUCCACUCGGCGCUCCGCAGCCCCGCGAGUUCCCACAGGGCCUCGCGCGCCAUGGGCUGUGCGAAGAGCAAAGAGACGUGUUGGGCUGCCCGGCGGCAGCAGGAGGCCGUGGGCCCGAGCUGCAGGGCCCACCGUUCCUCAGAUGAAGAAACUGAGGCACAAAGAGGUUAUGAAACUUGCCCAAAGUCCCACACUUGGUAAGUGGUAGAGCUGGGAUAUAAGCUGAGGCAAUCUGACUCCGAAGCCCAGGAGUCAACCAUUACACUGCCCCCUCCCCCCUGGGUUUUAUAGGUGUGAGAAGGGAGACCCAGAAAAGUAACUUGCCCAAGUGAUGGAAUUUGUUAAUGCUGUAGGAUCCAUCUCUUUCAGAGGCUUACAAUUUAGUCACAAUGCAGCAUAUUGUGAACAACUAUGAGCAAUGGUAAAAACAACCAAGGGGGGAAGGCAGCUCCCUUGGGAGAGUUAGGAUUUGGCAGGAGUGUCUGAAGGGGGAAGAUUUUGUUGGGGGAGCAGCUGAUAAGACCAUCCUGGAAAUAAUGAGGAUACGUGUCCUGCUGGAGUUGAG